CCUACGGGAGGCAGCAGUGAGGAAUAUUUGUCCAUGGGCUUACGCCUGAACCAGCCAAGUCGCGUGAGGGAAGACUGCCCUAUGGGUUGUAAACCUCUUUUGUCAGGGAGCAAUUGGCGCUACGUGUAGCGUUAUCGAGAGUCCCUGAAGAAAAAGCAUCGGUUAACUCCGUGCCAGCUGCCGCGGUAAUACGGAGGAUGCGAGGGUUAUCCGAUUUAUUUGGGUUAAAGGGUGCGGAGGCGGAAUUCCCAGUCAGCGGUAAAAUCGCGGGGCUCAACCCCGCUCCGCCGGUGAAACUGGGGUUCUCGAGUUGGCGAGAAUGAUGCGGAAUGCGUGGUGUAGCGGGGAAAGGCAUAGAUAUCACGCAGAACUCCGAUUGCGAAGGCAGCAUACCGGCGCCCAACUGACGCUGAAGCACGAAAGCGUGGGUAUCGAACAGGAUUAGAUACCCGGGUAGUC
rnacentral:rRNA from 1 species